rnacentral:lncRNA from 1 species
GGCUUCAUUUAUCCAACAGCAGAUACUGAGAGCCCUCUCUGGAACUAAUUCCAGUUUAUCUGAGCUCAGACACCUGGGAAGGGAACAGUGCUGGGACAAGAACCUUCUAAGGAACAAAUUCUGAGAACAGGAGAGAAACCCUUGAGAUCAGCGCUGAGAGAAAGAAGAGAGGUGGUGAAGGAGCCAGUGUGGGAUGUUGGACAGAUCUGAGCCAAGGAGCUGAGGGACAACAGGAAUGGCAGAGCUUCACCCUCCCAGCAGYGAUGAGAGAGACUGACAGUGCUACGAGUCCCUUCUGGCUCCUUCUGCACGGCGGCCGCUGCCUCUGCAUAUUCAUUGGAUGGUAAUGCAGGAUGUCGGCAGCAGCGGUAGAGUUUGGCUCGGUCCCACUGCGUUUUCCUCCUGCCGGUUGCAACUCYGCAUCGCCAUGACAACGCUGUGACACUUCCAGCAGAGGUUGCCUGCGGAC